rnacentral:rRNA from 1 species
CCUACGGGAGGCAGCAGUGAGGAAUAUUGGUCAAUGGGCGCGAGCCUGAACCAGCCAAGUCGCGUGAUGGAUGAAGGUUCUAUGGAUCGUAAACCUCUUUUAUAAGGGAAUAAAGUGUGGGGCGUGUCCUAUUUUGUAUGUACCUUAUGAAUAAGGAUCGGCCAACUCCGUGCCAGCAGCCGCGGUAAUACGGCGGAUCCGAGCAUUAUCCGGUUUUAUUUGGUUUAAAGGGUGCGUAGGCGGCCUUUUCAGUCCGCGGUGAAAGUCUGUGGCUCAACCAGAGAAUUGCGGUUAGAAUGGGGGGCUUGAGGAUGUUUGAGGCAGGCGGAAUGCGUGGUGAAGCGGUGAAAUGCUGAGAUAUCACGCAGAACCCCGAUUGCGAAGGCAGCCUGCCAAGCCAUGACUGACGCUGAUGCACGAAAGCGUGGGGAUCAAACAGGAUUAGAUACCCGUGUAGUC